rnacentral:rRNA from 1 species
UCCUGGAGUGGGGGAUAGGCCGGCGAAAGCCGGAUUAAUACCGCAUACGAUCUGGGGAUGAAAGCGGGGGACCUUCGGGCCUCGCGCUCAAGGAGCGGCCGAUGGCGGAUUAGCUAGUUGGUGAGGUAAAGGCCCACCAAGGCGACGAUCCGUAGCUGGUCUGAGAGGACGACCAGCCACACUGGGACUGAGACACGGCCCAGACUCCUACGGGAGGCAGCAGUGGGGAAUUUUGGACAAUGGGGGCAACCCUGAUCCAGCAAUGCCGCGUGUGUGAAGAAGGCCUUCGGGUUGUAAAGCACUUUUGUCCGGAAAGAAAACUACGUCCCUAAUAUGGACGGAGGAUGACGGUACCGGAAGAAUCAGCACCGGCUAACUACGUGCCAGCAGCCGCGGUAAUACGUAGGGUGCAAGCGUUAAUCGGAAUUACUGGGCGUAAAGCGUGCGCAGGCGGUGAUGUAAGACCGAUGUGAAAUCCCCGGGCUUAACCUGGGAACUGCAUUGGUGACUGCAUUGCUGGAGUAUGGCAGAGGGGGGUGGAAUUCCACGUGUAGCAGUGAAAUGCGUAGAGAUGUGGAGGAACACCGAUGGCGAAGGCAGCCCCCUGGGCCAAUACUGACGCUCA